AUUGAACGCUGGCGGCACGCCUAACACAUGCAAGUCGAGCGGUAGCAGGACCUGUAGCAAUACAGGUUGCUGACGAGCGGCGGACGGGUGAGGAAUACGUAGGAACCUGCCUUAUAGUGUGGGAUAACUAAGGGAAACUUUAGCUAAUACCGCAUAAUCUCGAGAGAGGAAAGCUGCCGCAAGGUGGCGCUAAAAGAGGGGCCUGCGUCCGAUUAGCUAGUUGGUGAGGUAAGAGCUCACCAAGGCGAUGAUCGGUAACUGGUCUGAGAGGACGACCAGGCACACUGGGACUGAGACACGGCCCAGACUCCUACGGGAGGAAGCAGUGAGGAAUAUUGGACAAUGGGGGCAACCCUGAUCCAGCGAUGCCGCGUGAGUGAAGAAGGCCUUCGGGUCGUAAAGCUCUUUAGGUUGGGAAGAAGGGUGUUAGAGGAAAUGCUAAUACUUUGACGGUACCGACAGAAUAAGCACCGGCAAACUCUGUGCCAGCCGCCGCGGUAA
rnacentral:rRNA from 1 species